CUAAGGCUCCAGAGGAAGCCACGGCUAACUCUGUGCCAGCAGCCGCGGUAAUACAGAGGCGGCAAGCGUUGUUCGGAAUUAUUGGGCGUAAAGAGCACGCAGGCGGCCUUGCAAGUCAGUUGUGAAAGCCUUCCGCUUAACGGAAGAAUGCCAGCUGAUACUACAGGGCUUGAGUACGGGAGGGGAGAGUGGAACUUCUGGUGGAGCGGUGAAAUGCGUAGAUAUCAGAAGGAACGCCGGCGGCGAAAGCGACUCUCUGGCCCGAAACUGACGCUGAGUGUGCGAAAGCUAGGGGAGCAAACGGGAUUAGAUACCCCGGUAGUCCUAGCCGUAAA
rnacentral:rRNA from 1 species